UACGUAGGUGGCAAGCGUUGUCCGGAUUUACUGGGCGUAAAGAGCGCGCAGGCGGUCGGAUUAGUCGCGUGUGAAAGCCCCCGGCUCAACUGGGGAGGGUCACGCGAUACUGUUCGACUCGAAGGCAGGAGAGGGAAGUGGAAUUCCCGGUGUAGUGGUGAAAUGCGUAGAUAUCGGGAGGAACACCAGUGGCGAAGGCGACUUCCUGGCCCGUUCUUGACGCUGAGGCGCGAAAGCUAGGGUAGCAAACGGG
rnacentral:rRNA from 1 species